CCGUUAAUAGUGUAACAGUAAGCUGACGUGGAACGUUAAAUUAUCAUUGCAAAUAAAAAAUUUAGGUUAAAUUAUACAAUUGGUCCCUAACUUUUUUCGUUUUGAGCAAUUUAAUUUUUCUUCUUUUAUGUUCUUUGAACUUUCUUUUUUUUUCCCUUUAUUUUCCAUUCUCCUCCUUCUCCCUCUGUUUUCCUCCCUUCUCCAUUUCUUUUAACAUAAUUUUUCUAUAUUUUUCAAUUGUUAAACUAGUCCCUAUACUUUUAUUUCUUUAUUUUCCUUUUUUUCUUCAUUUUUAUUUUUCUCUUUUAUCACAUUCUUCACUACAAAAAAAAAAAUAAUCAUUUCCCACCAAAUAAAUCAAGUCAAUUUUUUUACAUGAUUCCUAAAUUG
rnacentral:lncRNA from 1 species